rnacentral:tRNA from 1 species
GGGCGUGUAGCUCAGAUGGUUAGAGCGCCACACUGAUAAUGUGGAGGUCCCUGGUUCGACUCCAGGCACGCCCACCC